UAAAAACAAGAGUUUUCCCCUGAAGAAACA
rnacentral:piRNA from 1 species